GAGGAUGUAACUCGGUGGUUAGAGUGCUUGCUUAGCAUGCAUGAAGCCCUGGGUUUGAAUCCCAGGGCCUCA
rnacentral:tRNA from 1 species